GACGAACGCUGGCGGCGUGCCUAAUACAUGCAAGUUGAGCGAUGAAGAUUGGUGCUUGCACCAAUUUGAAGAGCAGCGAACGGGUGAGUAACGCGUGGGGAAUCUGCCUUUGAGCGGGGGACAACAUUUGGAAACGAAUGCUAAUACCGCAUAACAACUUUAAACAUAAGUUUUAAGUUUGAAAGAUGCAAUUGCAUCACUCAAAGAUGAUCCCGCGUUGUAUUAGCUAGUUGGUGAGGUAAAGGCUCACCAAGGCGAUGAUACAUAGCCGACCUGAGAGGGUGAUCGGCCACAGUGGGACUGAGACACGGCCCAAACUCCUACGGGAGGCAGCAGUAGGGAAUCUUCGGCAAUAGACGAAAGUCUGACCGAGCAACGCCGCGUGAGUGAAGAAGGUUUUCGGAUCGUAAAACUCUGUUGGUAGAGAAGAACGUUGGUGAGAGUGGAAAGCUCAUCAAGUGACGGUAACUACCCAGAAAGGGACGGCUAACUACGUG
rnacentral:rRNA from 1 species